UGAGGCGCGCCGAGUUUGAUCCUGGCUCAGAGUGAACGCUGGCGGCGUGCUUAACACAUGCAAGUCGAACGAGAACGGGUAUUAGCUUGCUAAUACUGUCAGCUAAGUGGCGCACGGGUGAGUAAUAUAUAGUUAACCUGCCCUAGAGAAGGGGAUAACGUUUGGAAACGGACGCUAACACCCUAUAUGCCUUUAAUACAUAAGUAUGCAAGGGAAACAUUUAUGGCUCUAGGAUGGGACUGUACGGUAUCAGUUAGUUGGUGAGGUAAUGGCUCACCAAGACAAUGACACCUAACUGGUUUGAGAGGAUGAUCAGUCACACUGGAACUGAGACACGGUCCAGACUCCUACGGGAGGCAGCAGUGGGGAAUAUUGCACAAUGGACGAAAGUCUGAUGCAGCAACGCCGCGUGGAGGAUGACAC
rnacentral:rRNA from 1 species